GGAUUGUGGCUCAGCGGUAGAGCACUUGCCUAGCAUGUGCAAGACCCUGAGAUCGAUCCUCAGCACCA
rnacentral:tRNA from 1 species